UUGCAGUAUCUCUUAGCUAAGUGGAGGUGUCAGGGAGGUGGUUGAAUGUCUGGAGCUUAGAGGUCAGAGUUGGUAUUUAAAGCCUUAUUACCAAGUGAGAUCACCUAGGCAAGGAAGACUGUAUGUGGAGGAGGCAGAGGGAUAAAAGAGGAGAACCGAAUAGGUGCAGUGUCUCCAGAAUCCAGUAGAAUGAGUGUGCAAGAAGUGACCGAUGGGUCUACUGUUUCAGGAAGGUCAAGGAAGAAGAUUAUGGUUCAUUGGACUUGGCAAUCUAAAGGCAUUGGUGACUUGGCAAACGUUGUUUGGAAGCUGGACAGGAGGUAAGAAAGUAGAGGUGAUGGCGCAGACAACUCUGGAGCAUUUCUGCUGUGAAGAGCAAAGAAACGAGACAACAAUUUGGCUAGUGCUUCUUCCCGCUGCUUUGACCUGCCUAUUGAUUCUUGUGCCAGAAUCACAGUUUUGUAAAAAACCAUUAUAGUUGAAACUGGUUUGGCUCAGUGGAUAGAGCGUCGGCCUGCUGACUGAAAGGUCCCAGGUUCAAUUCCGGUCAAGGGCAUGCACCUUGGUUUCCGGCACAUCCUUAAUAGGGGGUGUGGAAAAGGCAGCUGACCGAUGAUUCUCUCUCAUCGAUGUUUCUAACUUCCUAUCCCUCUCUCUUCCUCUCUGUAAAAAAUCAAUAAAAUAUGUU